AUGCUUGUUCUCUGCUUGGGCGCUGUCAUGUCCCUCCACUUCCUCUCCGAAGGCGCACCUACUCUGCCGCUGCCCUUUGUCGUGCGUGCACUCGCGCUGCUGCCUUAUCUUCUCUCUCACGCGCGUGUGCGUUGCAGGGGAGCUGCCGCAGCUGCCUUCUCUCUGUGUGCAGAAGCUAUUCUCUUCUCACAUCCGUGGUUGCUGACUGCCGUAUGUAUCGUGACCUCCCAUGGUGGCCAUGCAGGAAUCGCUCAGCAGAACAAUAGCCUGGUUCGAUGUUAUUUGAUCAUUCAGCUAUUUUUGUUUUUUCCUUUUUAA
rnacentral:rRNA from 1 species